rnacentral:misc_RNA from 1 species
GAAAGACAAAAGCCAAAGGGUAAGCGAGGUCGACCAAAAGGUUCAAAGAUAAAGAAACCAAUUGCUGCUUCUAAUGAACAGAGCCAACUACUGCUUCAAAUUGAAAUGAACGCAGAUGAAUUAACAGGUAACUCUGGCAACACUUGCAAAAGGCGUCGAGGAAGGCCAAGGAAGUACAGCAAACCAGAAAAUUCAGAAUCAUUUGACAUUACUGAGAGGAAAAAGGUACAGAGGAGUUUGAUGUGCCACCAGUGUUGGAGAAGCCAAAAUAAUGGUGUUGUUAUUUGUUCCAACUGCAGAAGAAAACGCUAUUGCUAUGACUGCCUUGCAAAGUGGUACCCAGAGAAAACACGGG